CACAGGCGUAUAAAUACAAGGUCGCACAGUAAUCGCGAGGAAAUAAGCUGAAGAGCAACCGGAAUACGAAAAACAUUUCAUUCCAGCAUUACGGAUUACGAAUACUAUAAUUCGAUUCAAUUUUGGACGCAACGCCAUACCAAAGAGAAUUAUAAGCCGCAUUCCCAAUCAGUUUGCUCUACAAGGGAAGCAGAAUAGAUUCCGGGUUUCCUUAAAUAAUUGCAAACGUCGACUGCAGGAUUCUCACCGCUUACCUUCGCUCUCAAGCCGUUGGCAGUACCGAUUGACUAUAAUGAUGAAAUGGAAUAAUUGCGGAUAAAUAAACUGUAUUUCCAUGCUCUAAGAUAAAAUACAGCAUUUACGGUUAUCAUCAAGUUAUUACCUACAUCCAUAAAGCAACAUGCAUGUGAUUCUCGCCGAGGUUACUCACGAUGACGAUAAUAAAUCCUAAAUAAUAAACAGCAUAUGAUGAGGAUAUCUGAUAUGAACAACAUCAAUGCAAUAUAAGUGUAAAGAUUCUUAAUGUUUUCCGAGAAUAUAAUAAUUUGCUGAGAUGCUUUGUAUGAUCAACGCUCUCAAUAUUAUACGUUCACGAUAGAUAUCAUAUUUUUGGAAAAAGCUUUUAGCAGCCACUCGCGUAAAUUAGGACCACCAGUGUGAGGUAUCAAAGAUUCAUAUCUUUAUGUUACAGAUGCGGUCGUGUUUUCGAUCCAUUUUCGAUCGUCUCGUGAAAGUUACUCACCAGAGUAAUCGAUGAGUGAAUUUGCAAUGGAAAAUCCAUAAUCGCACAUUGCCAGGUGAAAGUGUGAUGAACAGUAGACUAUGUGCAUGGCACUACUCACUCCAUCCAUAAAAUAAGAAAAAUUAUCUGUAUUAUAAUGUAUCACCAUGUAUUAGUAUUGAAUGAGCAGAGCUAUGCUCAACAUCACGAUCCAAAGGAAUCGGUACAGAGGGGUCGAUGGUAGAUAUGGCCAGAUACCACAGGCGCGAAGACCGAUCUUCACAACUUGACUAACAGUGCUCACUUCCAUGUUCAGUGGAAAACUACAAGAAAUUCAUAGAGAAUCUCUCGAAGCAUGCGGUCGUGUCUUCGAUCUAUUUUCAAUCAUCUCAUGAAAAUUGCGGAACUUACCAGAGUGACGAUAAGUGAAUUUACCAUGGAAAUUCCACAGCCGUAUAUUGCCAGCAAGUACCCCGCAACUGUAUAGGAUUUAUGACGGUCAACUGGAGGCCGAUAAUCCACUUCGAGAAGCGGUGUGACAGUUUGACUUUAUCUGUCGUAAUGCGUAAA
rnacentral:lncRNA from 1 species